rnacentral:rRNA from 1 species
CAGCCGCCGCGGGAAUACGUAGGGUGCAAGCGUUAAUCGGAAUUACUGGGCGUAAAGCGUGCGCAGGCGGUUAUAUAAGACAGAUGUGAAAUCCCCGGGCUCAACCUGGGAACUGCAUUUGUGACUGUAUAGCUAGAGUACGGCAGAGGGGGAUGGAAUUCCGCGUGUAGCAGUGAAAUGCGUAGAUAUGCGGAGGAACACCGAUGGCGAAGGCAAUCCCCUGGGCCUGUACUGACGCUCAUGCACGAAAGCGUGGGGAGCAAACAGGAUUAGAUACUCCGGUAGUCCCUGUCUCUUAUAU